rnacentral:lncRNA from 1 species
CACCAUUAGCAUACAUUAUUAUGACGUCUUUGGCUACUAAGUAAAUGGAGAACUUCUGAGCCUCUCCAACCAAGUGCAGAUGGGGAUCCACCACCUGUGUCCUGUAGUGCACUCUCACCAGUCCUAACCAGCAGGAGGGAGGGGGAAAGAACAAGAAGAAAGAGGUCAUCAGAUCAGAAGCAGGGAGGCCACCCUCCCACUGAUCAGCUAUGUGAUCCUGGGGUUUUAUCCCAACUUGGGACAAAACUGGCCUCUGCCAUUUAUGAUCUUUGGAGUCUGAAAAAUGUUACAGCCUCUCUAAGCCUUGGUUUGCACAUCUCUGCAAGUGAAGAUAGCAUCACCAUCUCCAGCGUUGGUUGUGAAAUCAAGAGCAGAAUGUAGAAUGCCGAGCACACAUCCUCCGGAGAGGGAUGGAAAUUGGAGCAGCGUUGGCUCUGCCACAUUCUCGCUGAACCUCAGCCGCCUCCACAGAAGACAAAAGCAGAAUUUCCACACUCCAGGCUGUGUCUCAGAGACCAUUUAGAACUUAUCUCAUGCUGCCCUCAGUCUUAGUACCAAUCUGUCUAUGUUCAGCAGGAUAACUCAUCUGAGUGUGAGGACCUCUAGAGAAAAUAAAAUGACAGUUCGUCUCUCUCACAUACACACACAAAGCCCCUAUCUUAUACCAUAGACUUCAAAACCCAGAUCUGUAGUGUGGAAACUUCUUCCUCUUACUAAAGACAAGAGAAUUUGAGACAAAGUUUCGCCAUCAUGAGAACAUUAACUGAAAAGCAAUUAUCCAAAUCAGUGGCUCUGGAGAAAGGCAUACAGAAUUAAUUAGAAUCUCCUCUUCAAGUUAAAGAGACAGAGAGCCGCCCCCGGAGCUGUAGGAGCGUGGGCUCUGGGCUCAGUGGCCCCGUCUCUAAUCCCAGGCUCACGUUCACUAGCGGUGAGGGAUCGACCAAGUUGCUUAACCUCUUUCCCUCAGUUUCCCCAAAGUGGGAUGAAAUAGUGUAUAAGAAAAGUGAGUUACUAUACAUCACACACUCGGAACAUCCUGUGGUGAGUAGCAAGCUGUGAGUGUGAGUUGCUAUUGUCACCUUGAUCGUAACAGCACAGGUAUCUCAAAAUACUGGAACAACGAGGACUCACAGUGAGUCGAGACAGGUGUGAACAACUUGCCCUGCUGCCGGGACACGCCCUUAGGGGAGGAACAGAAUCACAUAGCUCUAUCUGGGGGGACCUGCCAAGAUUCAGGCCACACUGCACAUAUAUUGUCUGAACCAACAUCACAACCAACCUGUCAGGCAGGCAGUGUCCUCCCAUUAUCACCCAUCAAAUGAGUUAAGUAAUUGGCCCAAAACCACAUCGCUAGUAAAUGCUGGAGAGGGGAUUCAGACGCAAGUCCUCAUAGAAGCUAAAUGGAAAGGCUUAAUGAUUACUCCACAGUGAGGAUGAAUGCUUG